GCCUGCUUCCUGCUGUAGCUGUGGAAUUUGUGGCUUGUAGUCCAUAGAGUUAAGUUUUUUAAUGUGGGUUUUUUUGUGUGGUGCAAAGUAUGGAUCUGAGGCCACCUAUUUAUUGGAGUGUGUUACCAUUCACUCAAAAGGCUUUCUCCCCCAUGUCUACGGUUGGAAUUUAAAAGCUGUUUUGGGUCUGUCAUUGGGUGUGAUCUAUUCAGGUGGUUGUUUAUGUUUCCCUUCCUGUAGCCUCAGAAUGAGUUUAGAAAACACAUUGUGUUUGACUUGCAGUCUAUAUUUUUUUUCCCCCAAGUCACUGUAGCCCAGGCCGGCCUCAAACUCAUAAUCUACUUAGUAACAAUUACGAGUUGUGUUACUGUUGGACAAAGUAAGUUUUUUCAUUCAUGUGGGUGUUUCUGUUAACAAAUUUCAUCUUUUGUCUGUUCCAUCCUUGUCAGAUUUAUCCCAAAGUCAAAGAGUUUGGGAGGAAAACGACUUUUUGCUGCUGUGAAGAAUUAUGUAAAAUGUGCUUCUUCCUUAAAUUUUCAUUAGAACUUACCAGUAAAGUCCCAUGAACCUGGAAGGAAGGUUUAAACUGCAGGCUUUAGUAGAUGACAGCAAAAGCAAGCUCUCGGUGUGGAGGCGGG